GAUGAACGCUGGCGGCGUGCUUAACACAUGCAAGUCGAACGGAAAGGCCCAAGCUUGCUUGGGUACUCGAGUGGCGAACGGGUGAGUAACACGUGGGUGAUCUGCCCUGCACUUCGGGAUAAGCCUGGGAAACUGGGUCUAAUACCGGAUAGGACCACAUUUUGGAUGGUGUGGUGGAAAGUUUUUCGGUGUGGGAUGAGCUCGCGGCCUAUCAGCUUGUUGGUGGGGUAAUGGCCUACCAAGGCGUCGACGGGUAGCCGGCCUGAGAGGGUGUACGGCCACAUUGGGACUGAGAUACGGUCCAGACUCCUACGGGAGGCAGCAGUAGGGAAUCUUCCGCAAUGGGCGAAAGCCUGACGGAGCAACGCCGCGUGAGUGAUGAAGGUCUUCGGAUCGUAAAACUCUGUUAUUAGGGAAGAACAAAUGUGUAAGUAACUAUGCACGUCUUGACGGUACCUAAUCAGAAAGCCACGGCUAACUACGUG
rnacentral:rRNA from 1 species